GAUGAACGCUGGCGGUGUGCCUAAUACAUGCCAGUCGAGCGAACAGACGAGGAGCUUACUCCUCUGACGUUAGCGGCGGACGGGUGAGUAACACGUGUAUCACCUACCUAUAAGACUGGGAUAACUUCGGGAAACCGGAGCUAAUACGGUAUAACAUCUUGCACCGCAUGGUUCAACGGUGAAAGACGGUCUUGCUGUCACUUAUAGAUGCAUCCGCGUCGCAUUAGCUAGUUGUUAAGGUAACGGCCUACCAAGGCAACCAUGCGUAGCCGAACUGAGAGGGUGAUAGGCGACACUGGAACGGGGACGCGGUCCAGACUACUGCGGGAGGCAGCAGAAGGGAAUCUUCCGCAAUGGGCGAAAACCUUACGGAGCAACGCCGCGUGAGUGAAGAAGGUCUUCGGAGCGGAAAACUCUGUUAUGAGGGAAGAACAAAUGUGUAAGUAACUAUGCACGUCUUGACGGUACCUAAUCAGAAAGCCACGGCUAACUACGUG
rnacentral:rRNA from 1 species